rnacentral:rRNA from 1 species
UACGAAGGGGGCUAGCGUUGCUCGGAUUUACUGGGCGUAAAGGGCGCGUAGGCGGACAGUUUAGUCAGAGGUGAAAGCCCAGGGCUCAACCUUGGAAUUGCCUUUGAUACUGGCUGUCUUGAGUACGGGAGAGGUGAGUGGAACUCCGAGUGUAGAGGUGAAAUUCGUAGAUAUUCGGAAGAACACCAGUGGCGAAGGCGACUCAUCGUGCCCGUUAGUCCGUAACCGGCCUGGAGGCGAG